UACGUAGGGUGCGAGCGUUGUCCGGAAUUACUGGGCGUAAAGAGCUCGUAGGUGGUUUGUCGCGUUGUUCGUGAAAACUCACAGCUUAACUGUGGGCGUGCGGGCGAUACGGGCAGACUGGAGUACUGCAGGGGAGACUGGAAUUCCUGGUGUAGCGGUGGAAUGCGCAGAUAUCAGGAGGAACACCGGUGGCGAAGGCGGGUCUCUGGACCGAGACUGACGCU
rnacentral:rRNA from 1 species